GGAUUUGAUCCUGGUCCAGGGUGAACGCUAGCGAUGUGCCUUAGGCAUGCAAGUAGAACGGAAUAUCUUCGGAUAUUUAGUUGCGAACGGCUGAGUAAUAGAUAGGAAUCUACCCUUUGGUGUGGAAUACCUCAUCGAAAGAUGGGUUAAUACCGCAUGAGAUCGACAGAGUCGUAAGACUCCGAGAUGAAAGGACGUAACUGUCCGCCGAUGGAUGAGCCUAUCUCCCAUCAGUUUGUUGGUAGGGUAAUGGCCUACCAAGACUACGACGGGUAGGGGAUUUGAGAGGAUGACCCCCCAGAAUGGGACUGUGACACGGCCCAUACACCUACGGGUGGCAGCAACCGGGAAUCGUGCGCAAUGGACGAAAGUCUGACGCCGCGACAUCGCGUGAAGGAUGAAGGUCUAAUUGAUUGUAAACUUCUUUUGCCGUUGGUCAUUGGCCAACGGAGAAUAAGCACCGGCUAACCACGUGCCAGCAGCUGCGGUAAUACGUGGGGUGCAAGCGUUACUCGGAUUUAUUGGGCGUAAAGAGUUUGUAGGCGGUUUGGUAAGUUAUACUUUAAAGACCACGGCUUAACCGGGGGAAGGGGUGUAAUACUGCCAAACUUGAGGAAUCUAGGGGCUGUUGGAACUUAUGGUGUAGGAGUGAAAUCCGUUGAUAUCAUAAGGAACGUCAAGGGCGAAGGCAGACAGCUGGAGAUUAUCUGACGCUGAGAAACGAAAGCUAGGGUAGCGAAAGGGAUUAGAGACCCCUGUAGUCCUAGCCGUAAACGAUGCCUGCUAGCGGUGGGAGCUUGUCUUCCGCUGCGUAAGCUAACGCGUUAAGCGGGCCGCCUGGGGAGUACGAACGCAAGUUUAAAACUCAAAGGAAUUGACGGGAAGGCGCACAACCAGUGGAUUAUGUGGUUUAAUUCGAAACGAAACGAAGAACCUUACCAAGUCUUGACAUACUACCGUUUAUACGACCAGAAAUGGACGUAGAUCCUUCAUUUUGUUGGAUGGUAGUACAGGUGUUGCAUGGCUGUCGUCAGCUCGUGUCGUGAGGUGUUCCCUUCAGUGGGGUAACGAGCGCAACCCCUGUCCUAAGUUAAAUAUCCUUAGGAGACUUUCUUAAUUUAUUUAAGAAGGAAGUGGGGACGACGUCAAGUCAGCAUGGCCCUUAUGACUUGGGCUACACACAUAAUACAAUGGAGCCGACAAUGAGUUGCCAAACCGUAAGGUGGAGCUAAUCUCAUCAAACGGCUUCUCAGUUGGGAUUGAGGGCUGCAAUUCGCCCUCAUGAACGUGGAAUUGGUAGUAAUCGCGGGUCAGCUAUACCGCGGUGAAUACGUUCUCGCCUUUUGUACACACCGCCCGUCAAGGCAGUGAAGUUGGGGGUACCCGAAGUUCUAUUGAUAGGACGAAGGUAAAACCAGCGACAAGGCUUAAGUCGUAACAAGGUA
rnacentral:rRNA from 1 species